rnacentral:rRNA from 1 species
UGCGCGGUUGUAGCAAUACAACUGGCGCACGGCGCACGGGUGCGUAACACGUGGGUAACCUGCCCUUUGGUGGGGAAUAACUCCGCGAAAGCGGAGCUAAUUCCGCAUAAGAUCCGCAAGGAUGAAAGCAGCAAUGCGCCGAAGGAGGGGCCCGCGCCCGAUUAGCUAGUUGGUAGGGUAACGGCCUACCAAGGCUUUGAUCGGUAGCUGGUCUGAGAGGAUGAUCAGCCACACUGGAACUGAGACACGGUCCAGACUCCUACGGGAGGCAGCAGUGGGGAAUCUUGCACAAUGGGCGAAAGCCUGAUGCAGCGACGCCGCGUGGGGGAUGAAGCAUUUCGGUGUGUAAACCCCUUUCGAUCCGGACGAAACCCCGCAAGGGAUUGACGGUACGGAUAUAAGAAGCCCCGGCUAACUACGUGCCAGCAGCCGCGGUAAGACGUAGGGGGCCAGCGUUGUUCGGAAUUACUGGGUGUAAAGGGUUCGUAGGCGGUGCGGCAAGUUGGGAGUGAAAUCUCUGGGCUUAACCCAGAGGCUGCUUCCAAAACUGCUGUGCUUGAGUGUGGGAGAGGCGCGUGGAAUUGCAGGUGUAGCGGUGAAAUGCGUAGAUAUCUGCAGGAACACCCGUGGCGAAAGCGGCGCGCUGGACCACUACUGACGCUGAGGAACGAAAGCUAGGGGAGCAAACAGGAUUAGAUACCCUGGUAGUCCUAGCCCUAAACGAUCAGGACUUGGGGUGCCACCCGUUCGGGUGUCGUCCCGGAGCUAACGCGUUAAGUCCUGCACCUGGGGAGUACGGUCGCAAGACUGAAACUC